CACGUAGGGCGCAAGCGUUGUCCGGAAUUAUUGGGCGUAAAGAGCUCGUAGGUGGUUUGUUACGUCUGCUGUGAAAACCUAGGGCUUAACCCUGGGCUUGCAGUCGAUACGGGCAGGCUAGAAUUCGGUAGGGGAGACUGGAAUUCCUGGUGUAGCGGUGAAAUGCGCAGAUAUCAGGAGGAACACCGGUGGCGAAGGCGGGUCUCUGGGCCGAUAUUGACGCUGAGGAGCGAAAGCGUGGGGAGCGAACAGG
rnacentral:rRNA from 1 species